GCUUUCCAGACGAUGAUACCAAAGACUUGGAUGAUUAUCGACAAGGAGUGGGAAUAGAUCUUUUGGCAGGUGUGGAAGCUGUUAUAAGUCACUUAGUGGUGAAGAAUUUUCAGAUUCCUUGCGCACAUGCUCCUGCAGUAUUGCCUCCUCAAUUAAACAUGGCAGUGUGCCCAAAAUCAGCUGCUGAAGAGAUAGGAUUUACAUUCUUGCCGUGUGUCCUUGCUGGGCUUAG
rnacentral:misc_RNA from 1 species